ACGACUCUCGGCAACGGAUAUCUCGGCUCUGGCAUCGAUGAAGAACGUAUUGAAAUGCGAUAUUUGGCGUGAAUUGCAUAAUCCAGUGAACCAACGAGUCUUUGAAUGCAUGUUGCGCCCGAAGCCACCCGACCAAGGGCACGCCUGCUUGGGCAUCACGCGAAUGAGCCGCUCUGGUCUGGCGACGCGCCGAGUUCCCGAGAUUGUCACACCCCCUCCGCGCGCGAGAGGGUGGGGAGAGAGAGAGAGGAGAGGGAAGCACCCUGCGCGCCACCAACGGAUGACAAGAGCCGUCGCGAGUGUGGGCGGGGAUGACCUCCUCCCUCCGUCGGGCCUCGCUCCGUGACCCUUGGUCAUGCGGGGCCACCCGAUCAGUUUAAGAAUAUCAAUAAACGGAGGAGAAGAAACUUAAGAAUAUUCCCCUAGUAACUGCGAGCGAAACGGGAAGAGCCUAGCUUGAGAAUUGGGCGGCGACACUGCCCGAAUUGUAGCUGCAGAAGCGUCCUUAGCGACGGAAGGGGCCCAAGUACCCUAGAAAAGGGUGCCGAAGAGGGUGAGAGCCCAUCGUGCCCAGACGCUGCCACACCAUGAGGUGGUGUCGGUGAGUCGGGUUGUUUGGGAAUGCAGCCUCAAUCGGGUGGUAAAUUAUGUCCAAGGCUGAAUACGGGCGAGAAACCGAUAGUGAUCAAGUACCACGAGCGAAAGAUGAGAAGGACUUUGAAAGAGAGUCAAAGAGUGCUAAACGGCGACGAUGCGGCCCGGCCGGAUGCUAAACGGCGACGAGCCUAUCCGCCGCUCGGCUCGAGCCGUGGACUGAUAUAGGCCGCACCGGCGGCUGAAGCUCGGGCAGAUGACCCCACCCGAGGAGACGCCGCCGGUUGACACAGUGCGCGCUAGUCCCUCGUCGUGCCCACCACCGGCAUGAGCGCGCUCUAAGAACUGGCUCUCGUGCUCCCCAUUCGACCCAUCUUGAAACACGGACCAAGGAGUCUGACAUGCGUGCGAGUCGACGGGGGCAGAAAGUUGGAAGGUGCAAGGAAGCUGAAGGACGAGAUCCCCCAAGGGGUGCACCAUCGACGGACCCUCGAUCUUCCGUGAAGGGUUUGAGUUGGAGCAUGCCUGUCGGGACACGAAAGAUGGUGAACUAUGCCUGAGCAGGGCAAAGCCAAAGGAAACUCUGGUGGAGGCCCACAGCGAUACCGACGUGCAAAUCGUUCGACUGACUUGUGUAUAGGGGCAAAAGACUAAUCAAAGCAUCAAGUAGCUGGUUCCCUCCGAAGUUUCCCUCAGGAUAGCUGGACCCCGUAAAUGAGUUCUAUCGAGUUAAGCAAAUGAUUAAAAGCAUCGGGAGCGCAACGCCCUCGACCUAUUCUGAAACUUUAAAUAAGUAGGAUGGGGCGGCUGCUCCGGAGAGCCGUGCCAUGGAAUUAAGAGCUCCAAGUGGGGCAUUUUUGGUAAGCAGAACUGGCGAUGCAGGAUGAAUAGGAGGCCAGUUACGGUGCUCGAUUGCAUGCUAUCCCAAAAUCUACAAAGGGUGUUGGUGAAUUAAGACAGCAGGACGGUGGUCAUGGAAGUCGAAAUCCACUAAGGAGUGUGUAACAACUCACCUGCAGAAUCAACUUGCGCCGAAAAUGGAUGGCGCAGAAGCGCCGACCCAAACCCGGCUGUGAACGGCACUUGAACAUGGGUUAGCCGAUCCUAACGGAAUAGGGAGGCCCGUUAGAGAGCGCGGGGGUUAAAAUUCCUGCGCUGUGAUGUGGCAGCUGACGGCAACGUUAUGGAGUCCGGGGACGCCGGUGGGGGCCCCAGGGAGUAUUAUCUUUUCUGCUUAACGGCCUGCCCAUUAUGGAAAUGGCACAGCCGGAGGUAGGCUCCAGUGGCCGAAAGAGCACCGCACGUCAUGCGGUGCCCGGUGCCCCCCCGGCGGCCCUUGAAAAUCCGGAAGACCAAAUGCCGUCCACGCCCGGUCGUACUCAUAGCUGCAUUAAGUCUCCAUGGUGAACAGCCUCUGGCCGAUGGAGCAAUGUAGGCGAGUUUAGUCGGUAAAACGGAUUCGUAACUUUGGGAAAAUAAUUGGCUCUAAGGACUGGGUACGGGGUUCCGGCCCCGAACUCAUUGGCAGUCAGCGGACUGCCCGAGCUGCGUCCGCAGUGAGAACAGGCCUCCGCGUGCCGGCUAGGGGACAGACCGGGAAUGGCCCGUGCGCCGCUCCCUCGGUGCAAGGGCCUUCACCGGGUGUCGAACAGCCGAGUCAGAACUGGUACGAACAAGGGGAAUCCGACUGUUUAAUUAAAACAAAGAAUUGCGAUGGUCCCCGCGGAUACUCACACAAUGUGAUUUCUGCCCUGAGCUCUGAAUGUCAAAGUGAUGAAAUUCAACCAAGCUCGGGUAAACGGCGGGAGUAACUAUGUUUCUCUUAAGGUAGCCAAAUGCCUCGUCAUUUAAUUAGUGACGCGCAUGAAUAGAUUAACGAGAUUCCCACUGACCCUGUCUACUAUCCAGCAAAACCACAGCCAAGGGAACGGGCUUGGUAGAAUCAGCGAUGAAAGUAAACCAUGGUAAGCUUGGCUCCAAGGCCGCGCCCCGCGUGCGGCUAAUUUGGGCUGAAGACAUUAUCAGGUAAGGAGUCUGGCUGGGAUGGCAUAUCUGUUAAAAGAUAACGCAGGUGUCCUAAGAUGAGCUCAACGAGAACAGAAAUCUCGUGUGGAACAAAAGGGCAAAAGCUUGUUUGAUUCUGAUUUCCAGUACGAAUAUGAACCGUGAAAGCGUGGCCUAUCGAUCCUUUAGCCCUUCAGGAUUUGAAGCUAGAGGCGUCAGAAAAGUUACCACAGGAAUAACUUGCUUAUAACAGCCAAGCGUUCAUAGCGACAUUGCUUUUUUAUCCUCGAUGUCGGCUCUUCCUAUUAUUGUGAAGCAGAAUUCACAAAGUGUUGGACUGUUCACCCCCCAAUAGGGCAUGUGAGCUGGGUUUAGACUGUCAUGAGAUAGGUUAGUUUUACCCUACUGAUGACUGUGCCGCCAUAGUAAUUCAACCUAGUACGAAAGGAACCAUUGAUUCACACAAUUGGUCAUCGCGCUUGGUUGAAAAGCCAGUGGCGUGAAGCUACCGUGUGGCGGAUUAUGGCUGAACGCCUUUAAGCCAGAAUCCAAGCUAGCAUUCGGCGCCACGCCCAGCCGCCCGGAACCCUGACCCGCACUACGGACCCCGCAUCCCCCACGGGCCCGUGCCAUAGGCAACGGCCCCGGCGGCAGAACUAAAUACACGAUGGGCCAUUAUAAGUGGCAGAGUGGCCUUACUGGCAGGAUCCACUGAGAUCAAGCCACUCAUCUCCUGGAUUCGUCCCACCCCCUCGUCUCCCGC
rnacentral:rRNA from 1 species